rnacentral:lncRNA from 1 species
GGCUUAAACUCGAAAUAUAUUAUAACUAUAGUAAUUGUAAAUGGCUCGGUACAGAGCACACGCAACCUCGAGGAAGAGCAAACCAUCUGGAAAAGACAGAAGGUGGAGGGAAAAAUAAAGCUUGACUACGAGAUCAACUCUGCUUCUGACCAACUAUAAGUGCCUUUACGAUAGCUUCACUCAUUCCAUCAGCAUAAGGGAGCAAAUGCCCGGCUCCGGGUAGCUCGUGGUACUCAAUCCACGGUAGCUUCUGCGCAAUGUGCCGUUGAAGUAAAAUGGGGACUAGCCUAUCCUCAUCGCCUUGCCACGGAUGGACCGAUAACUUCCUUGUUCGGGAGAGGGUUCUCAAUUUCCAUGGGAUAGAACUCUCAGCUCCCGAAACCGACCAUCAUGUUCUGAUGGAUGGACUCGGCCUCUCCUUGUUGCCUCGAAUUCACCCUCGGCUGCAUAACAAAAGAACAAGGCCAGUUAUCUUACAAGUUUGCUUUUGGCUAGGAUUAAUUUAACCAGCUGUUAGUAGUCAUGCCGUGAGUGA